rnacentral:rRNA from 1 species
AACGCGUGAGCAACAUCGCCCGUACGUCAGGGGAGUAACCGAUGGAAACGUCGCCGUAAUACCCCGUAACAACGGAUCCCGCAUGAGAUCUGUUUGAAAGCUCCGGUCGGAGACGGAUUGGCUCGCGUGACAUUAGCUAGUUGCGGGGUAACGGCCCACCAAGGCGACGAUGUCUAGGGGUUCUGAGAGGAAGGUCCCCCACACUGGAACUGAGACACGGUCCAGACUCCUACGGGAGGCAGCAGUGAGGAAUAUUGGUCAAUGGACGCAAGUCUGAACCAGCCAUGCCGCGUGCAGGAAUGAGGCCCUAUGGGUCGUAAAACUGCUUUUGCUGCGGAGCAAUAAGGUCUACGUGUAGUCCCAUGAGAGUACGCAGCGAAUAAGCAUCGGCUAACUCCGUGCC